AGUGAACGCUGGCGGUAGGCCUAACACAUGCAAGUCGAACGGCAGCACAGUAAGAGCUUGCUCUUACGGGUGGCGAGUGGCGGACGGGUGAGGAAUACAUCGGAAUCUACUUUUUCGUGGGGGAUAACGUAGGGAAACUUACGCUAAUACCGCAUACGACCUACGGGUGAAAGCAGGGGAUCUUCGGACCUUGCGCGAUUGAAUGAGCCGAUGUCGGAUUAGCUAGUUGGCGGGGUAAAGGCCCACCAAGGCGACGAUCCGUAGCUGGUCUGAGAGUAUGAUCAGCCACACUGGAACUGAGACACGGUCCAGACUCCUACGGGAGGCAGCAGUGGGGAAUAUUGGACAAUGGGCGCAAGCCUGAUCCAGCCAUACCGCGUGGGUGAAGAAGGCCUUCGGGUUGUAAAGCCCUUUUGUUGGGAAAGAAAAGCAGCAGGUUAAUACCUCGCUGUUCUGACGGUACCCAAAGAAUAAGCACCGGCUAACUUCGUG
rnacentral:rRNA from 1 species